CCCCUCUGCCACCUCCCUUGCACGCGGCUCCAGGUUCCCGGUGCCGAGUCUAGGGCGGCGGGUACGGGGGCUACGCCCUACUGGGCAGAGGCUGGACACACCCCAAGGCUGCACGGCACCCCAGAAGGCCUCUCCCAAGUCACGCGGGCCUCAGACGCCCCGCAAACGCACCGAUGGGAGUACAUAACGUGAACCCGAGAUACACCCCAGCACGCGGUGUCCGUAUGGGGCACGACGCCCAAAAUGUGGUUUCAUCUUGAGGAGAAGGAAGAGCUGCAGAGAAUUUGCUGUCUCAGGCGGACCGGGUGAACUAUGGUGCCCGGAGGAAGUGGUCUCAGGGGGCUUUCAGGGGCACGUGGCCCUUUGGCUCCUGGCCCCACACUUGGGGGUCCUGCUGGGAAUCUGCCCCCACAUUCAUGCAGCCAAGUGUGGACACUGCUACCCCCCUCACCCCACAGCUCACCUGCACCCCCUUCUGGAGGGGACUGUCCUGCAGUCCCCUCUAGCUACUUCCAUGCACUUUGGACAGGACAGAGACCCCUGGGGCCCAGACACGACGCAGGAGUCAGAGCUUCCCGAGAACAGGCCCCUCUGGGGACUCAUUGCUGGGACACCAUGGCCUAUUACUCUCCUAACAGAUGUUCAGAGGUCAAGGCCCGGCUGGACCGGGCUGACAUCAUCAGUGGCUGCUGGAGCUCCUGGAACAGAAAGAGGCCAGCAGGUGCGGCUUGCUCCAGCUGUCCUCUGCCUCCUGUACCGUCUUGCACACCUCCUCUGCCUGUUUGUCUCCACUGCCUCUGGACACGUCUCAGAGUGGCUGCUGCACCAGCCGGGCGCUCCGCGUCCACCCGUUUGUUACAAGUACCUUCUGGGCACCUCCUGUGGGCCGCACACUUCACCAGGUGCCAAGCCCUGUGCUGGUGAACAGAACUGAAGAAGUGCCUGGCCUUUGGGAGAUUCCUGUGUGAGAUGCAUGGCAUGCUGGCC